rnacentral:rRNA from 1 species
AGAGUUUGAUCCUGGCUCAGAUUGAACGCUGGCGGCAGGCUUAACACAUGCAAGUCGAACGGUAACAUGAGUGCUUGCACUUGAUGACGAGUGGCGGACGGGUGAGUAAAGUAUGGGGAUCUGCCGAAUGGAGGGGGACAACAGUUGGAAACGACUGCUAAUACCGCAUAAAGUUGAGAGACCAAAGCAUGGGACCUUCGGGCCAUGCGCCAUUUGAUGAACCCAUAUGGGAUUAGCUAGUUGGUAGGGUAAAGGCUUACCAAGGCGACGAUCUCUAGCUGGCCUGAGAGGAUGACCAGCCACACUGGAACUGAGACACGGUCCAGACUCCUACGGGAGGCAGCAGUGGGGAAUAUUGCACAAUGGGGGGAACCCUGAUGCAGCCAUGCCGCGUGUAUGAAGAAGGCCUUCGGGUUGUAAAGUACUUUCGGUAAUGAGGAAGGUGGUGUAUCUAAUAGGUGCAUCAAUUGACGUUAAUUACAGAAGAAGCACCGGCUAACUCCGUGCCAGCAGCCGCGGUAAUACGGAGGGUGCGAGCGUUAAUCGGAAUGACUGGGCGUAAAGGGCAUGUAGGCGGAUAAUUAAGUUAGGUGUGAAAGCCCUGGGCUCAACCUAGGAAUUGCACUUAAAACUGGUUAACUAGAGUAUUGUAGAGGAAGGUAGAAUUCCACGUGUAGCGGUGAAAUGCGUAGAGAUGUGGAGGAAUACCGGUGGCGAAGGCGGCCUUCUGGACAGAUACUGACGCUGAGAUGCGAAAGCGUGGGGAGCAAACAGGAUUAGAUACCCUGGUAGUCCACGCUGUAAACGAUGUCGAUUUGGAGUUUGUUGCCCUGAGUGAUGGGCUCCGAAGCUAACGCGAUAAAUCGACCGCCUGGGGAGUACGGCCGCAAGGUUAAAACUCAAAUGAAUUGACGG